GAGGGUGUAGCUCAGUGGUAGAGCACGUGCUUCCUAUGCAUGAGUCCUGGGUUCCACCCCAAUAUCUCA
rnacentral:tRNA from 1 species